GAAAUGCAUUUUUGUAGAUUAAUAAAACAUUUAUGAUAUUAUCACUUCUCUAUUUAAAUGGUAAUUGUAUAUCAUAUGACUUCUUGUCAUUGUGAGUCAUUGUUAUCGAUCAUUUUGAGCAGAGCUAACACCUGAGUAUCAGUGGAUCAAGCGGUCUACUGAUUCAAGGAGAAAAAAAGAAACGAAAAUGAGAAAUUUAAUUUGUAGUUAUUUUCUGUCAUGUACCAUGUUACUAACAUUGCAAGCAGACUUGGUGCAUAUGAAAGGUAUGUAUAAAGAUUAUAUCUAGAUGAGA